GACGAACGCUGGCGGCGUGCUUAACACAUGCAAGUCGAACGCUGAGGCUUUGCUCUUGCACGGUGCUGGUGAGUGGCGCAGGUGUGUGAAAUAUGAGAGUAACCCGCUUUUGAUUCGGGUAAAUUCCUGGGAAUCGGGGUCAUACACUGUAUACGACAUUGCACCGCAGGGGGGUGUGUGGAAAGUGUUCUGCUGGUUUUGGAUUGGCUGACGGUCUAUUAGCUUGUUGGUGGGGUAAUGGCUCACCAAGGCGCGGACGGGUAGCCGGCCUGGGAGGGUGACCGGCCACACUGGGACUGAGACACGGCCCAGACUCCUACGGGAGGCAGCAGUGGGGAAUAUUGCACAAUGGGCGGAAGCCUGAUGCAGCAACGCCGCGUGCGGGAUGACGGCCUUCGGGUUGUAAACCUCUUUCGGCUGGGAAGAAGCGAGAGUGACGGUAAUUGGAAAAGAAGCGCCGGCUAACUACGUG
rnacentral:rRNA from 1 species